rnacentral:rRNA from 1 species
AUACGUAGGGUGCGAACGUUGUCCGGAAUUACUGGGCGUAAAGAGCUCGUAGGUGGUUUGUCGCGUCGUCUGUGAAAUUCCGGGGCUUAACUCCGGGCGUGCAGGCGAUACGGGCAUAACUUGAGUACUGUAGGGGAGACUGGAAUUCCUGGUGUAGCGGUGAAAUGCGCAGAUAUCAGGAGGAACACCGGUGGCGAAGGCGGGUCUCUGGGCAGUAACUGACGCUGAGGAGCGAAAGCAUGGGUAGCGAACAGGAUUAGAUACCCUGGUAGUCCAUGCCGUAAACGGUGGGCGCUAGGUGUAGGGGUCUUCCACGACUUCUGUGCCGUAGCUAACGCAUUAAGCGCCCCGCCUGGGGAGUACGGCCGCAAGGCUAAAACUCAAAUGAAUUGACGGGG